rnacentral:rRNA from 1 species
AUUAGGCUUUUUAUAAAAGUCUUGAAUGAAGGAGCUGACGAUUUUUAAGCUUUCUUAGCCUCGGGGAGGAAAUUUAUCUCUAAGUUAAAAAGCUUAGCUAUUUGAGGGGACGAUAAGACCCUAUAAAGCUUUACUGGUCUGCGCGAAGAAGAAGAGGAAAACAUUUGGUCAAGCUAGUUGAGCUGGGGCGGCGAUUAAAACUCUUUAAUGGAAAAAACAAGAAAUUCUUGAACUAAUAGAUCUAUUAAGAUUUAGAUUAAGCUACUUUAGGGAUAACAGCGCAAUCUUUUUAGAGAGAUCUUAUUGAUAAAAAGGACUUGCGACCUCGAUGUUGAAUUGAGGGGCCUAAAUUAAGCAGAAAUAAUUUAAGGGAGUCUGUUCGACUUUUAAUUCCUCA